rnacentral:rRNA from 1 species
UACGUAGGGGGCCAGCGUUGCUCGGAAUUACUGGGCGUAAAGGGUCCGUAGGCGGUGUGGCAAGUCGGGAGUGAAAUCUCUGGGCUUAACCCAGAGGCUGCUUCCGAAACUGCCAUGCUAGAGUGUGAGAGAGGCAAGUGGAAUUGCGGGUGUAGCGGUGAAAUGCGUAGAUAUCCGCAGGAACAUCCGAGGCGAAGGCGGCUUGCUGGAUCACAACUGACGCUGAGGGACGAAAGCUAGGGGAGCAAACAGG